AUUGAACGCUGGCGGCAGGCCUAACACAUGCAAGUCGAACGGUAACAGGAAACAGCUUGCUGUUCCGCUGACGAGUGGCGGACGGGUGAGUAAUGUCUGGGAAACUGCCUGAUGGAGGGGGAUAACUACUGGAAACGGUAGCUAAUACCGCAUAACAUCGCAAGACCAAAGAGGGGGACAUUCGGGCCUCUUGCCCUCGGAUGUGCCCAUAUGGGAUUAGCUAGUAGGUGGGGUAACGGCUCACCGAGGCGACGAUCCCUAGCUGGUCUGAGAGGAUGACCAGCCACACUGAAACUGAGACACGGCACAGACUCCUACGGGAGGCAGCAGUGGGGAAUUUUGGACAAUGGGGGCAACCCUGAUCCAGCAAUGCCGCGUGAGUGAAGAAGGCCUUCGGGUUGUAAAGCUCUUUUGUCAGGGAAGAAACGGCAGCUCUAAUACAGUUUGCGAAUGACGGUACCUGAAGAAUAAGCACCGGCUAACUACGUGCCAGCAGCCGCGGUAA
rnacentral:rRNA from 1 species